UACGUAGGGUGCGAGCGUUAAUCGGAAUUACUGGGCGUAAAGCGUGCGCAGGCGGUUCGUUGUGUCUGUCGUGAAAGCCCUGGGCUUAACCUAGGAAUUGCGCUUGAGACUGGAUAGCUUGGAGUGCGGCAGAGGGAGGUGGAAUUCCACGUGUAGCAGUGAAAUGCGUAGAGAUGUGGAGGAACACCGAUGGCGAAGGCAGCCUCCUGGGCCAGCACUGACGCUCAUGCACGAAAGCGUGGGGAGCAAACAGG
rnacentral:rRNA from 1 species